AUUGAACGCUAGCGGGAUGCCUUACACAUGCAAGUCGAACGGAGUGGCGAACGGGUGAGUAAUGUAUCGGAACGUGCCCAGUAGCGGGGUAUAACUACGCGAAAGCGUAGCUAAUACCGCAUCCUAUGGGAGCGGCCGAUAUCGGAUGAGCUAGUUGGUGGGGUAACGGCUCACCAAGGCGACGAGCCGUAGCUGGUUUGAGUGGACGACCAUCCACACUGGAGCUGAGAAAGGUCCUAGACUCCUACGGGAGGCAGCAGUGGGGAAUUUUGGAGAAUGGGCGAAACCCUGAGUCAGCCAUCCCGCGUGGGCGAUUAAGGCCGUCGGGUUGUAAAGCACUUUUGGCAGGAAAGCGGUACCUGCAGAAUAAGCACCGGCUAACUACGUGCCAGCAGCCGCGGUAAUAC
rnacentral:rRNA from 1 species